rnacentral:rRNA from 1 species
UGCAGUCGAACGAUGAUCCGGGUGCUUGCACUCGGGGAUUAGUGGCGAACGGGUGAGUAACACGUGAGUAACCUGCCCUGGACUCUGGGAUAACCCCGAGAAAUCGGAGCUAAUACCGGAUAGGACCUGGGACCGCAUGGUUUCGGGUGGAAAGUUUUUCGGUUUGGGAUGGACUCGCGGCCUAUCAGCUUGUUGGUGAGGUAAUGGCUCACCAAGGCGUCGACGGGUAGCCGGCCUGAGAGGGUGACCGGCCACACUGGGACUGAGACACGGCCCAGACUCCUACGGGAGGCAGCAGUGGGGAAUAUUGCACAAUGGGCGCAAGCCUGAUGCAGCAACGCCGCGUGCGGGAUGACGGCCUUCGGGUUGUAAACCGCUUUUAGUAAGGAAGAAGGGGAGCUUGCUCCUUGACGGUACUUGCAGAAAAAGGACCGGCUAACUACGUGCCAGCAGCCGCGGUAAUACGUAGGGUCCGAGCGUUGUCCGGAAUUAUUGGGCGUAAAGAGCUCGUAGGCGGUUUGUCGCGUCUGCUGUGAAAUCUAGAGGCUCAACCUCUAGCCUGCAGUGGGUACGGGCAGACUUGAGUGGUGUAGGGGAGACUGGAAUUCCUGGUGUAGCGGUGGAAUGCGCAGAUAUCAGGAGGAACACCGAUGGCGAAGGCAGGUCUCUGGGCACUUACUGACGCUGAGGAGCGAAAGCGUGGGGAGCGAACAGGAUUAGAUACCCUGGUAGUCCACGCCGUAAACGUUGGGCGCUAGAUGUGGGGGACCUUUCCACGGGUUCCCGUGUCGUAGCUAACGCAUUAAGCGCCCCGCCUGGGGAGUACGGCCGCAAGGCUAAAACUCCAAAGGAAUUUGAC